AUUGAACGCUGGCGGCAGGCUUAACACAUGCAAGUCGAACGAGUGGCGGACGGGUGAGUAAUGUCUGGGAAACUGCCUGAUGGAGGGGGAUAACUACUGGAAACUGUAGCUAAUACCGCAUACCAUAGGAUGAGCCCAUGUGGGAUUAGGUAGUUGGUGGGGUAAAGGCUCACCAAGGCGACGAUCCCUAGCUGGUCUGAGAGGAUGACCAGCCACACUGGGACUGAGACACGGCCCAGACUCCUACGGGAGGCAGCAGUGGGGAAUAUUUCGCAAUGGGGGAAAGCCUGACGCAGCCAUGCCGCGUGAGUGAAGAAGGCCUUCGGGUUGUAAAGCUCUUUCAGCGGGGAGGCGUUAACCGCAGAAGAAGCACCGGCUAACGCCGUGCCAGCAGCCGCGGUAAUAC
rnacentral:rRNA from 1 species